AAAACCCUAAUAAUAUUCUCGCCUCUUCCUCUGCCUCUCUUCCUCUCGCCUCUGCAAUCUCUUCCUCUCGCCUCUUCUUCCUUUCUCUUGGCAGAUGUUGCUGCCCAGCUUCCUCUGGCGACAAGCGCCUGAGACUUUGCGGAUUUAGGGCGUAGAGGAUGGAUUACAGGCACAAAUAAUGGUUACAGCAUAUAAUUUAAUUGGAAAAAGUUGUGAGCUCCUCCUUUGUAAUACAAAUCCAAUGGUACCUUCCAUAAUGGAAAGAGGAGCGCCUUUUUGUGACCAAAUUUUUUAAACAAUUUAUGGAUGUUUAAUGUAAUUUUUUGUAACAAUCAAGUAUUCUCCUCAAACUCCAUUCUUUUUCCUAGCUCCUGGAUUCGUUGGGGGAUGGUGGAGUCCAUAUUUGUUCACAGCUACAAUAGCCUCAACAAAAUAUUUCUUUAAUCAUGUUUUAAGGAAAAAUACUUUAAUAAAAGCUUGCAGAAACAUCUCUCGCCAUUAUGAUCGAUAGCUUCUCCUUUGUCCAAUCGCUCAAGGUCUCCCUUCGUGUCCCUCGCCUCCCUCAGUAUAUUUUUUUUCGAGCUAUAAAUCUCUCCCUCUGUCUUUGAUUUUUUCAGGAGGACUAUGUUUGAAGGUCGUCGUGGAUCUCGCUAUUCAAAGUCGUCUGUGGUUUACGGUGGCAGAGUUCAUUGAUCUCGUCAUUCGAAUGCUGACAGCUCUAGGUUCUUGGUCUAAGGUGGCAGGUUUCGUGGAUCUCAACAUUCGAACGCUGGUGAUUUUAGGCUCAUCGUCUAUGGUGGCUGUAGGGUUCUGCUUGUAAUUUCUUUUUUCAAAUUUCAAUUUUAUUUCUGGAUGU